UUAUGUAAGGAGUUCUGGACUAAGAGCACAGAGUCCUGUGUUCAAGUUCUGACAUCAGCUUGUUCUGUGACCUUAUGCAAGUAUGUCUGCUUUGGGUCUGUUUCCUCAUUGGGAAGCGGGAGGGGGGAAGGGGGCUUCUAAAUAAGUGCUAACAUUCCAUCAAGCACUCAUGCUCCAAUUCCCAUGACACUGACCUGGGGCCAUGGGGAAGAUCCCUGUGCAGGUGAAAGAGGACAGCGUGGGAGAAAGAAUUGUAUUUAGAGUGUCAAAAGAAGUUAGGAGGAACUGUGUUUUUAUGAAGAACAGCAGACACGCAGCAGUCAGAAACGAAUGAUAUUUAAAUCAGUUUGUUGUCCAUCACCUUGCUAACAGUUUUCUUCAUAGCUUCAAGCCACACACACUUUCUCCUCAUGUGUCAGAGGAUUUGACUCGGUCCUUUGAGAGAACAGAGCGUUGUCUCCCUCUGAAGUGUUUGAAGUGUGCUUUUCUAAGCUUUUGACAGUAAAAUUCCUCGCAGCUUCACGGCUCAUUGUUGGUUGGUGCCCUGUGCAUCCUGAGGAUUGCCGUUAAACCUAGAAAGGCCUUUCUCUAUAAAGGUUCCUUUCAUAGCUGAGCUGUACGAGUUAGAAGAUUUUUUUUUCCCAUAAAAAUGCGUCGGCCUCAUCCAUCUUAAUCCUCUGCGGGACUAUUUCAGUGCCGGGUGCCCGUCCACAUUCCUCUGAGGCAUACCCUCUGUGCCUGCAGAGCAGGGCCUUAGGGAGCUGGCACAGGGGGCCUCAUGCCCUCCCCACCCCGACUACACACUCACAUCUAAUGCGUAUUUACUUCAACUUCUCCUCAGCUGGGUCCCCAAGAUGCCCAUUGUCACUCCAGGACGGCCUGGCCUGCCAGGGGGGCGGGGCAGGAGGACAGUGGAGAGUGAUACCAGCUUUCUCUCAACACAGGGAAGGUGUCUUUGACGGUCGCAUUUGUUGCUGAAGUCAUAGCACCUACGAGAGCUGCUGGAGAGGGAUGCCUUACUGAAUAGAAAGUGGACACGUGAAUUGAUGAGUGAACCAUGAAAUGCGGAGCUUCCUGAGAGAGGGGCAUUGUCUGGUGGAAGCCGCCCUGCUCAUGCCUGCCCUGCAGGACUGCUGGGAAAUUCCUGAGUUCUCUUGGGAGGGGAUGGGGCUGAAGGAGACAACACUGUUGUGUAUUAGCAAAUAGCGUUGACUUCACAGGCCCUCCUGAGAGGCCUUUGACAGACCUGACCAUACUUUGGGGAGGACUGUGGGAGAACUUUGGAACUCGAAGCUAGAAAAGACAUUGAGUGUUGAGAGCUCAGUAAGCUGUUCUGUAGGAGCUUGGAAGGUAAGAAUGUUGAGAGCCGUGCAGAAGACGGAGGCCUGGCUUGUGAAGUUUCAGAGGGAAGUAAAGACUCUACCUGGCCAUUUCUGUGAAGAAUCUGAAGUGUCUGGCCAGCCGGAGCUGAAGAAUCAGCUGUGAUUAACAAGACACCAGAAACACUGAAGUAAAAUCUUUGCUUUGCUGGGACAAUGGAUGCUGGUCAACUGGAGCUGAAGAAUCAGCCAUGAUUAAGAAGAGACCAUCAUCAUUGAGGUGGAGUCCCCUGGGAAGUCUUUCCUCAGGGUCAGCACACAGAAAAUAUGUUCCAGAAAUGACCAAGAUUGUACCUUAUUCUGGCAACCAAACUUGGUAGCAUAAGAGUCACCCAGUUGUUGCUGGUUUUGAAGGAGGCAUGAAGGGGUCAUGGAGAGCAGCUGAGGAUUGGCACUGUGUAGCAGGGCUGGAGUCCCUGAAGAGAGCCCAGGAGAGGCUGCCAGUGAAAGUGCAGCCUGGUUGCAGCAAGAGACCCAAGCAUGUUUGGAGACGCCAGCAUCACGGGAUGACCACCAAGCAGUGGUGGAGUGGAGCCAGCCGAAGCCUAAAAGACAAGCUGGUCAUGCUGCAGAGGGCGGAGUCAGAGAAGUGACCCAAGCCCUUUGGAGGAGCCCAGAAGAUCGUGAGUGAAUCCUGGAUGAUUGGGCAUUGAAUUUUUUAUACUGUUGGAGUUUGGUUUUGCUUUGUUUAGUCUGCGCUGGCACUUUCCUCUUGAAGUAAAAGUAUUUGAUUUAUUUUUGAUUUGACAAGAGUGAACAGUUGAGAGACUUUGAAUUUUAAAAGACUUUGGCUUUUAAGAGACUGCCUCUUUUAAAGAGACUGAAUUUGUAAGUGUUGGAUUUUUAAAGAUGGGGGACUUUUAAAAAUUGGAAUGUUUCUAUUGUAAGGUUGAUGUUAGUUUGUGAUCUUGGGGGAGGAACAAGAAAGGAAAGGUUAUGACUUAACAGUGAUGUGUUUGUGUGUCAAGUUGACAAGGGGUCAAUUGUACUGGCUGGUUUUAUGUCACUUUGACACAAGCUAGAGUUAUCUGAAAGGAGGGUCCCUCAAAUGAGAAGAUGUCUCCUUAAGUUCUAACUAUAGGGAAUUUUCUUAAUUAGUGAUUGAUAGAGGAGGGCCCAGCCCUUUGUGGGUGGUGCCAUCCCUGGGUUGGUAGUUUGGGGCUCUAUAAAAAUUCAUAGACUAAGCAAGUCAUAAUGAGCAAGCCAGUAAGCAGCACCCCUCCAUGGUCUCUGCAUCAGCUCCUGCCUUCAGGUUCCUGUCCUGUUUGAG